rnacentral:rRNA from 1 species
CGUGGGGAACCUGCCCCAUAGUCUGGGAUACCACUUGGAAACAGGUGCUAAUACCGGAUAAGAAAGCAGAUCGCAUGAUCAGCUUUUAAAAGGCGGCGUAAGCUGUCGCUAUGGGAUGGCCCCGCGGUGCAUUAGCUAGUUGGUAAGGUAAAGGCUUACCAAGGCGAUGAUGCAUAGCCGAGUUGAGAGACUGAUCGGCCACAUUGGGACUGAGACACGGCCCAAACUCCUACGGGAGGCAGCAGCC